GACGUAGGGGACGAGCGUUGUCCGGAUUUAUUGGGCGUAAAGCGCGCGCAGGCGGCUUGGUAAGUCGGGUGUGAAAAUCCGAGGCUCAACCUCGGACGUGCACCUGAAACUGCCAGGCUAGAGGUAGGUAGGGGAGAUCGGAAUUCCUGGUGUAGCGGUGAAAUGCGCAGAUAUCAGGAGGAACACCGGUGGCGAAGGCGGGUCUCUGGGCAGUAACUGACGCUGAGGAGCGAAAGCGUGGGGAGCGAACAGG
rnacentral:rRNA from 1 species